GGAAAAGUUGUUGUUGCUGGCUCCUAGGAAAGAGAAUGUGAGACUAGAUAUGCCACUGGCUGAGGGAAGCCAUGCAGAUACUCAUGGUCACUGGUGUCUGUCCUUGCACUGUGGAAGGAACAAUGGUGCAGCUUUACACACAAAGGUUUGGAAGGAGGAUUGAAUCAGAUAGGAACUGUGGCUAACAAGGUACCUGAUAAUGCUCCUGGAAUAAGAGAAUUGCUGAGAGAAGACCAAGGCGAUUAGGAGAUACACACAGUUAUGUUAGCAAAUCACUUUAAAAAAAAAAUAAAAUCAUUGGCCUUGAAAGAAGCCUGAAACAUUAGAGCAGAAGCAAGCACGAAGAAGGAGCUGUGGCAUCGUACGCCCCGUCUAACAAGGUAUUGAGCACCGAAGCCCAGGGGACUCCUGGCACUCUCGCUGUGAAGAUUAGACAAGAGCACUCGCGCAGGACACAGCAGGAAUAUGAAGGGACAUGAAGUGAGCAAUCCCAGCAGACAGCCUGUUGAAAUGUCAGUCAGGCACUCUGCCUCCACCACCUUUCACAGAGCUAAACAUCUCUUUAUGUCAGAACAAAUUGGGCAAUCCUCAAAUCUUUUUUUCCUCUCCCCUGACUUCAAUGCGGCGCCGAGCGCUGGGAAGGAGCGCGGGAGGGAGCGCGUACAGACAGUUCACUUCAGUUCACAUGAAAGCGCCCUGACACGCUACAAGGCUGAAUACUGAUAUUGGCAACUCUUACAAUCUUAUCAGAGAGGCAGGAGCAGCAGCAGCCGCCGAGCUGCAGACCUUCCCCUUUCCAAUUACGCCGGGUGGCUGCUCCUUUCCCAAGCAUCCCGCGACGUCCUUUGAAAGCGAACUCCUGGGCUUGAUCAAAGGCCACAAAAGCAAACACGGCCUUUCUGUAUUUAUGGGCAUAUUUACUUCUGUCAUCUUUUUCUUGUUUUCACUCCCACCUUCCCUCACUAGUCCAUUAAGGAAGUCUAAUUUUAACCAACAUCUAACACAGUGCUCAAACGCAGACUGGUGAGUAACCGCAAUCUUAUUUUAAAUUAUUUGCUUUCACUUACAAAAUUCUCUACAGGGUAUUUGGCUGGGGUUUUUGACUAAAAACCAUACACAGUAGGUUUUUUUGCAGGAGAACAACAAUAAAGAAACCUUCCCAUUAGAUAGUUCUUGGCAUGA